GGUGGAGGGUAAUAGGGAUUUGGAAAUCACCUGGCCUGAAAGGGUAGGCAUGGGUCCCUGCGACAGACAUACGACCUUGACUGUUGGAGCUAUCCAGAGUAGACAUGACACCCCCUGGACAAUUCCUUAGAAAAGGCAUCUUGACCACCCCUGCCCUUGGGCUGACAGGUGUAGAUGGAUUCCCUGGGCUUGGCAAGGGUAGACAAGGGUUCUCAGGUUGACAAGAAGACAGGGCUCCUAGAAUAGCAAGACUGUCCUCUAGCUGGUAAAGAUGUGUCCCUCUACUGUGACUUCUCCAAGUCCAGGAGUCCGGGUAGACCCCGCAUGUCUGUCUCACUGGAAAGGUAGGGGAUGACAUGGACUUUCCACCCUCUGCUCUCACUCUUGGGCCUUGUCUGGGGCUUUGUCUCCCCAGGGCUCAGAGGUCAUCAACAGCAAAAAUCGUGAUGUGUACAAGCUGCCUCCACCCACGGCCCCUGCAGCACUUGGAGAUGCCUGUAGAUCCCGAAUUCCAUCCCCACUGCAGCCUGAGACCCAGGGUACCACUGAUGAUGAACCCUCCGAGCCUGAACCUUCUCCUUCCACACUUAUCUAUCGCAACAUGCAACGCUGGAAACGCAUACGCCAGAGGUGGAAGGAGGCGUCUCAUCGGAACCAGCUUCGUUACUCAGAAAGUAUGAAGAUCCUCCGGGAGAUGUAUGAUCGGCAGUGAUCUCCCCAGGACCCACCCCAAUAAACCUGCCCCAACCCACACUGGCCAGCCCAUCUUUCCUGGCCCAGACAUAAGGC
rnacentral:lncRNA from 1 species